CAACAAAAGGAGACUAAGAAGACCUCUAUCUCUGGGCAGCUGGGAAGAACAGUGAUGAUGGACAUUGGGUACCCAGUGCAACAAAAAGAUGCUCAAGACUUCAGGGGAAAAAGUUAUAUGAUCCUGCAUCACAGAGACUGAGGAUCCAGGGCACAGACGACACCUCUCCUAGAACACCAGGAGAGAGAGUCAGGGUGAGCGUCCAUUUCUCUUGACUUCCAAACCUGUGCUCAACUGUCCAGCCAUCCUGCCCAAUGCUUCUGCAUUGGAAAUCGAUUCCCUGCAUUGUGCUAGAUGCCUGCAAGACCGUGUGUCUGUGCAAGCAUUUGCAUGCAUGUGUGUGUUUGCGUGGGGAGGUCUAUGUGCGUGUGUGUGUGUGCACACACGUGUAUGUUGGGGGAAGUGAAGCGUGCCUUAGAGAUGCUGAUGAAAGAGAUUCCAAGUCCUUGCUGGUGUCACACCGUCGUAAAGAACCAGUCAGAUCACUUGGAGGCCAAGACUCAGGACCCCCAGGUAACCUGCGUGGGACCUGGCAGUGCCAGCUAUUUGUAGCAGGGGAGAGGAAUCUCCUUCUAGAAGAGUGAACUACCGUGGAAAUGAGAGGAGAGCAGAGACGCAGGCCUGGCACUCAGAGGGAGCGUGCAGAGAAAUUGCUCAGUCUAUUCGGGUCGAGAACAAGUCCCAGGCUCAUGGAUCCUUCCAUUAAAACCAAACUCGGAGAAAACUACAGAAAUUAGGGAUCACGGAUCCAAGGAACCAACAUAAAAACUAAGAGAAAUUCUUGGGCCACCCAAAAGCUGCUGUGUCCAGGGGUGUGUGGGAGGGGGUGGUGGCUGCCUUCCAGGGCACAGCGUGAACAGAUUCGUGAGGGGGGAAUGGGGCGGGGGCAACCUUUUAAGUGUAGUUCUGUCACCUCCCCCUCACUUCCUUGCUAGGGUCUCAAAAAAUCAAAGCAAAUGUAUAGAAACCUAAACGUUCAGUUAUUAACCUUGAGACAAGGAAAGCUCUAAGAGCCAGGGAUCCUGCGCUC
rnacentral:lncRNA from 1 species